GAUCCUGGCUCAGGAUGAACGCUAGCUACAGGCUUAACACAUGCAAGUCGAGGGGCAGCAUGGCCUUAGCUUGCUAAGGCCGAUGGCGACCGGCGCACGGGUGAGUAACACGUAUCCAACCUGCCGUCUACUCUUGGACAGCCUUCUGAAAGGAAGAUUAAUACAAGAUGGCAUCAUGAGUCCGCAUGUUCACAUGAUUAAAGGUAUUCCGGUAGACGAUGGGGUA
rnacentral:rRNA from 1 species